GUAUUAGGCUGAGGUUGUUGGGUGUGGGUAUAGCUUGAAAGUUGUGGUUGGUAUUGAGGAACCUGCCAGGGUGGGAGUCCUUGAAUGCCAGCUGGGCCAGGUUCUCCCCUAGCACCGGGUUCUCCUUUGUCUCCUUGAGCACCAGGUUCACCAUUGUUACCCUUAGGUCCAGGGGAACCCUUGGGGCCCUGAGGUCCAGGAGCACCACAGGCACCAGGGAAGCCAGGGACACCAGCAAUACCAGUGGGGCCAGCUUGACCAGGAGAACCGGGUUCACCACAAGCACCUUGGGGUGAAUCCCUGC